GACGAACGCUGGCGGCGUGCCUAAUACAUGCAAGUUGAGCGCUGAAGGUUGGUACUUGUACCAACUGGAUGAGCAGCGAACGGGUGAGUAACGCGUGGGGAAUCUGCCUUUGAGCGGGGGACAACAUUUGGAAACGAAUGCUAAUACCGCAUAAAAACUUUAAACACAAGUUUUAAGUUUGAAAGAUGCAAUUGCAUCACUCAAAGAUGAUCCCGCGUUGUAUUAGCUAGUUGGUGAGGUAAAGGCUCACCAAGGCGAUGAUACAUAGCCGACCUGAGAGGGUGAUCGGCCACAUUGGGACGGAGACACGGCCCAAACUCCUACGGGAGGCAGCAGUAGGGAAUCUUCGGCAAUGGACGAAAGUCUGACCGAGCAACGCCGCGUGAGUGAAGAAGGUUUUCGGAUCGUAAAACUCGGUUGGUAGAGAAGAACGUUGGUGAGAGUGGAAAGCUCAUCAAGUGACGGUAACUACCCAGAAAGGGACGGCUAACUACGUG
rnacentral:rRNA from 1 species